GACGAACGCUGGCGGCGUGCUUAACACAUGCAAGUCGAACGGAAAGGCCCUGCUUUUGUGGGGUGCUCGAGUGGCGAACGGGUGAGUAACACGUGAGUAACCUGCCCUUGACUUUGGGAUAACUUCAGGAAACUGGGGCUAAUACCGGAUAGGAGCUCCUGCUGCAUGGUGGGGGUUGGUAAGUUUCGGCGGUUGGGGAUGGACUCGCGGCUUAUCAGCUUGUUGGUGGGGUAGCGGCUUACCAAGGCUUUGACGGGUAGCCGGCCUGAGAGGGUGACCGGCCACAUUGGGACUGAGAUACGGCCCAGACUCCUACGGGAGGCAGCAGUGGGGAAUAUUGCACAAUGGGCGGAAGCCUGAUGCAGCAACGCCGCGUGCGGGAUGACGGCCUUCGGGUUGUAAACCGCUUUCGCCUGUGACGAAGCGUGAGUGACGGUAAUGGGUAAAGAAGCACCGGCUAACUACGUG
rnacentral:rRNA from 1 species